UACCUAAUCGGCACUAGGGUUCCCUAUUCUUACUCUACUUCAUUCCUCAUUUGGGAAUUUCUAUCGUCUCAUCCGCCGCUCUUCUUCUUCAUUCACAUAUCUUCUCCACCGAUUUUCUUCUCCAUUCACCUUCGUCUCUCUUCUCCAUUCACUGAUGGCUAAUAACCUUGAUUGGGAGAUCGAUUCUGAAUCCAAAGAGUUCCCGUCCAUGGAAUCGGUGGCAAAAUCAUAUGCCGCCUACCUUGGGUCCAUGGUGCCGGAAACAGAGUCCAUGGUGUCGGAAACGGAGUCCAUGGUGCCGAAAACACAGUUCCUGUCCAUGCAGCUCGAUUAUUUUGAUGAGUCCCAACAGCCGUUAAUUGCUACUGAAUCUAGGGUUCCGCCGCCUCCAUCUACGCUCCAUUUGCUCCCGGCGACUAGAUCUACUAUGGAUCGGGUCCCGGCGAAGCGAACUCUUGAAGCUAGGUGAAAUCGUUUGUUUUACUGCUUUUUGGGGGCUGGUGAUGCCAUUUCGUGCUUAUUUCCUCCUAUGAUGAGUUUUUAUGAGGAUUUGUGGACUGAUUGGGGGCUGGUGAUGCCAUUUCGUGCUUAUUGUGAACCCUAUGAUGAUUUUUUCUGAGGAUUUGUGAACUGAUUGUGUGUGGGGGCUGGUGAUGCCAUUUCUUGCUUAUUGUGAACCCUAUGAUGAGUUUUCUUGAGGAUUUGUUAACUGAUUGUGUGUGGGGGCUGUGAACCCGAUGAUGAAGUUUUUCUGAGGAUUUGUGAUCAUAUUGGUUAUGUGGUAAUUGAUUUCCAGAUCAUCCAAACGGUCCUCAAGUCGACGUGGAACUUCUCGGCAGCUUGCUUCUUCGCACCAUAAUGGAGCUUACCUUGCGUGCUGUGUUGGAGCAGCAUUGAGCCAAAGAAUUCCUAUCAUCAUUAGUUAACUUAGGCCUAGCUCUUAAGUUGCUCAUUUUUUGUAAUGAAGAAUGUGGGCAGCAGCCUUAAGUUCCCCUAUUUAUUGUUGUUUUCAAGUGUAGGUGAGGGCUCUUAAAUUCCCUCCAAAAAAUUUCGGUACUUGUGUUGGUGCCAGUUUUAAUGUGUUGGGAGUAUAACACUUGUUCAUUUAA